rnacentral:rRNA from 1 species
AUACGAAGGGGGCUAGCGUUGUUCGGAAUUACUGGGCGUAAAGCGCAGGGGUGUAGGCGGACAUUUAAGUCAGGGGUGAAAUCCCGGGGCUCAACCUCGGAACUGCCUUUGAUACUGGGUGUCUAGAGUGUGGAAGAGGUAAGUGGAAUUCCGAGUGUAGAGGUGAAAUUCGUAGAUAUUCGGAGGAACACCAGUGGCGAAGGCGGCUUACUGGUCCAUUACUGACGCUGAGGUGCGAAAGCGUGGGGAGC